rnacentral:rRNA from 1 species
GACGAACGCUGGCGGCGUGCUUAACACAUGCAGUCGAGCGGUAAGGCCCUUUCGGGGGUACACGAGCGGCGAACGGGUGAGUAACACGUGGGUGACCUGCCCUCAGCUCUGGGAUAAGCCUGGGAAACCGGGUCUAAUACUGGAUAUGACUCCAUGACGCAUGUUGGUGGGGUGGAAAGCCUUGUGCGGCUGAGGAUGGGCCCGCGGCCUAUCAGCUUGUUGGUGGGGNGAUGGCCUACCAAGGCGACGACGGGUAGCCGGCCUGAGAGGGCGACCGGCCACACUGAGACUGAGACACGGCCCAGACUCCUACGGGAGGCAGCAGGUGGGGAAUCUUGCGCAAUGGGCGAAAGCCUGACGCAGCGACGCCGCGUGA